rnacentral:rRNA from 1 species
UACGAAGGGGGCUAGCGUUGCUCGGAAUGACUGGGCGUAAAGGGUGCGUAGGCGGGUUUUUAAGUCAGGGGUGAAAUCCUGGAGCUCAACUCCAGAACUGCCUUUGAUACUGAAGAUCUUGAGUCCGGGAGAGGUGAGUGGAACUGCGAGUGUAGAGGUGAAAUUCGUAGAUAUUCGCAAGAACACCAGUGGCGAAGGCGGCUCACUGGCCCGGUACUGACGCUGAGGCACGAAAGCGUGGGGGAGCAAACAGGG